UGUAGCUUAAAAAUAAAGCAAUGCACUGAAAAUGCUUAGAUGGGUAUUUACACCCCAUAAACA
rnacentral:tRNA from 1 species